UUUGCGUUAGGGAUUGCAGUGUAAAUCCUUUUGAAGCUUUUUCUGCUUCAAAAGAUUGUAGCGUAAAGCCCGACCACAA
rnacentral:sRNA from 1 species